rnacentral:rRNA from 1 species
GACGAACGCUGGCGGCGUGCUUAACACAUGCAAGUCGAGCGGAAAGGCCACUUCGGUGGUACUCGAGCGGCGAACGGGUGAGUAACACGUGAGUAAUCUGCCCCUCACUUUGGGAUAGCCACCGGAAACGGUGAUUAAUACCGGAUAUGACCAUAUGUCGCAUGGCGUGUGGUGGAAAGUUUUUCGGUGAGGGAUGUGCUCGCGGCCUAUCAGCUUGAUGGUGAGGUAAUGGCUCACCAUGGCUUCGACGGGUAGCCGGCCUGAGAGGGUGACCGGUCACACUGGGACUGAGACACGGCCCAGACUCCUACGGGAGGCAGCAGUGGGGAAUAUUGGACAAUGGGCGGAAGCCUGAUCCAGCAACGCCGCGUGAGGGAUGACGGCCUUCGGGUUGUAAACCUCUUUCAGUACCGACGAAGCGCAAGUGACGGUAGGUACAGAAGAAGCACCGGCCAACUACGU